UUCCAUCCUCCUCGGUCAUACCGGCCGCCCUAGUGCUGGCCUCUAUUCUUGGGCCUCAAGCGUCCGUAUCUGGCUGCGCAAGUCCGUCGGGAAAUCCACUCGCCCAACGAGUGGGCGUCCGACGGAAACUGCCCAGCUUGGGACCGGAAGGCUCGAAGGGUACGUUCGGGGUAGGAGUGAAAUCCCAUAAUCCCGCACGGACCACCGAUGGCGAAAGCACUUCGAGAAAACGGAUCCGACAGUGAGGGACGAAAGCCAGGGUCUCCAACCGGAUUAGAUACCCGUGUAGUCC
rnacentral:rRNA from 1 species